rnacentral:rRNA from 1 species
GACGAACGCUGGCGGCGUGCUUAACACAUGCAAGUCGAACGGAAAGGCCCUGCUUUUGUGGGGUGCUCGAGUGGCGAACGGGUGAGUAACACGUGAGUAACCUGCCCUUGACUUUGGGAUAACUUCAGGAAACUGGGGCUAAUACCGGAUAGGAGCUCCUGCUGCAUGGUGGGGGUUGGAAAGUUUCGGCGGUUGGGGAUGGACUCGCGGCUUAUCAGCUUGUUGGUGGGGUAGUGGCUUACCAAGGCUUUGACGGGUAGCCGGCCUGAGAGGGGGACCGGCAACAUGGGGACUGAGCUCCGCCCGAGCCCCCUCCGGGAGGCAGAAGGGGGAAAUCUUGCAAAAGGGGGGGAGGCCUGACGCAGCACCGCCCCGUGCGGAAGGCCGCCUUUCGGGUGUUAACCCGCUUCCGCCUGUCACAAACCGGGAGUGACGUUAAUGGAUAAAAAACCCCCGGCAAACUCCGUC